AAGAAAUAUACAGAGUUCAGAAAGAGCCUUACAUUGGAUCCUGACUGCUAGAGAAAACAGAAUUUACAUGUAGCAAUCCGGAAAGUUUCCAAGGCAACACCAGCUUCUUAUGACAUCCCAAAGAGAGGUCACAAUUGUGGCAGGCAUGUCAAUAUUGCUGGUUAAGCCUUGAGAGGUCCUUUUUGGUUAGGAUGAGAACAUCAUGGCCUCACCUUUGGAUUCCAAAGCAGAUUCAACACAAGAGUUCUUAAAAACACAAUACUUUUAUUGGCUUCUCAUCCUUUGGCAACAGCACACUCAUAUGCAGCUUGUUGAUUUGGCUGAAUCCUUCAUUCAGGAGCUUGGUGUAGCGUUCAGUGUGGCUCCUCCUGCAGUUCUUCUUGGCUCCCAGAGGUCAGCACCAGGCAGUGCUCUCAGGUUUACCAUGUCUUACUUACUCUGUACGUCUCAAGGGACUUUGAGAAGACACCUUCAUCAUUACGUCAAAAAACACUUACUAAGCAACAAUGACAUGCAAGAUACCAUGCUAAAUAUUGGGAAUGUGAAGAAAGAUAAAAUAUGGUCUAUAUUCUCAAGCAGCUAUAACCAUAGAUUUAGAGCUGAAAGUGAUCUCAGAGUCCAGUUCUCUUAUUUUACAGAGGAGAUCCAGAAAAGUGAAUGGACUUUCCCAUUGUGACAUGGUUGCUCACCAUGGCAGAACUGGCAUUCAGACUCAGGUCAUCUCACUCCAAAUUUGGCAGUCUUUCCACACUGCUGGGGGGGUAGCACUGAUUAUUUAUUUCAGAAACCAAACAGCUAUACUUUCCUUUAAAAUAUCCAGGAAAAAAGACUCUGCUACUAUUCCAGGAGUGUAUUUCAAUGUUUCAAAGCCAUUAAGAUGUCCUUUAUAAUGUCAAAUGUGUCUCCAGCUGCCGCUGAGUUAAUGUCUGUAAAAUACUUGAAACUCAUUAAAUUAAAACAUACUGUAUGGGUCCUGACCAUUGCUGUUCUGUGUGAGGGUUAUGAGUUUUGGACUUAGGUCAGCAAUUUCCCUAUC
rnacentral:lncRNA from 1 species